ACAGGGAUUGCCCCAGUAACGGCGAGUGAAGCGGCAACAGCUCAAAUUUGAAAUCUGGCGCAAGCCCGAGUUGUAAUUUGUAGAGGAUGCUUCUAGGUAGCGACCGGUCUAAGUUCCUUGGAACAGGACGUCACAGAGGGUGAGAAUCCCGUACGUGACCGGCCCGCACCUUCCACGUAGCUCCUUCGAAGAGUCGAGUUGUUUGGGAAUGCAGCUCUAAAUGGGAGGUAAAUUUCUUCUAAAGCUAAAUACCGGCCAGAGACCGAUAGCGCACAAGUAGAGUGAUCGAAAGAUGAAAAGCACUUUGGAAAGAGAGUUAAACAGCACGUGAAAUUGUUGAAAGGGAAGCGCUUGCAACCAGACUUUGGGGCGGUGUUCCGCCGGUCUUCUGACCGGUCUACUCGCCGUCCCGAGGCCAACAUCAUCUGGGACCGCCGGAUAAGACCUCGGGAAUGUAGCUCCCCUCGGGGAGUGUUAUAGCCCGUGGUGAUGCGGCGCGUCUCGGGUGAGGUCCGCGCUUCGGCAAGGAUGUUGGCGUAAUGGUUGCCAGCGGCCCGUCUUGAAACACGGACCAAGGAGUCUAACAUCUAUGCGAGUGUUCGGGUGUCAAACCCCUACGCGUAAUGAAAGUGAACGGAGGUGGGAAGGGCAACCUGCACCAUCGACCGAUCCUGAUGUCCUCGGAUGGAUUUGAGUAAGAGCAUGGCUGUUGGGACCCGAAAGAUGGUGAACUAUGCCUGAAUAGGGUGAAGCCAGAGGAAACUCUGGUGGAGGCUCGCAGCGGUUCUGACGUGCAAAUCGAUCGUCAAAUUUGGGUAUAGGGGCGAAA
rnacentral:rRNA from 1 species